GUACCAUGAUGAAUACGAAAGCACCCAGCACCAGUCCCCCGCGAGAGCAGCCGCCGCCGCCGCCGCCAAACAGACGUUGCAGCAGUCCAUUAUUGGCACCAUCGCCGCCGCCGGCACCGCCCCGCCGGCCGCGCGCUGCGCCCUUCGCCACAGCCCUCCGAGCCACAGCCCUCCCCGCGGCUCCAUCAUCAUCGCCGUCCUCACCGUCGUCCUGCUCUUCCUGCAGUUACGGCAAUGACAACAGGGUUUAAACGACCUUUUGUUUCCGUCGCAAAUGUUUCCGUCGUACUUGUCGUACCUGCUCGACCCAGAAGGUGAGGUUAAGGGUUUU
rnacentral:lncRNA from 1 species